UGGGGAAUAUUGCACAAUGGGGGAAACCCUGAUGCAGCGACGCCGCGUGAACGAAGAAGUUAUUCGUAUCGUAAAGUUCUGUCCUAUGGGAAGAUAAUGACAGUACCAUAGAAGAAAGCUCCGGCUAAAUACGUGCCAGCAGCCGCGGUAAUACGUAUGGAGCGAGCGUUGUCCGGAAUUAUUGGGCGUAAAGGGUACGCAGGCGGUUUAAUAAGUCGAAAGUUAAAGAUCGGGGCUCAACCCCGUAAAGCAUUAGAAACUGAUAAACUUGAGUAGUGGAGAGGAAAGUGGAAUUCCUAGUGUAGUGGUAAAAUACGUAGAUAUUAGGAGGAAUACCAGUAGCGAAGGCGACUUUCUGGACACAAACUGACGCUGAGGUACGAAAGCGUGGGGAGCAAACAGG
rnacentral:rRNA from 1 species